GGACAGAUGGCCGAGCUGGUUAUGGCGCUAGGUUAAGGUCCUAGUCUCGAAAGGGGCGUGGGUUCGAGUCCCACUCUGUUCA